UUUAAGAAAAGUUGCUGGAACUAACUCAUGCAGCUGGUUGAGAAGAUGUCAAGAGUGUAAGAGUUUUUAAUAAAAAAUAGUUUGGAUUUAUUUAACACUUUGCUUGGUUGCUGCAUAAUUCCGUACGCAUCACUUCAUAGUGUUAAUGUCUGAAUUUUUAUGUUAAAAUAACAGAAAUUAGUAAAUAAUAAUAAAAAUAAAUAAAGGUGAAAAAUACCUCAUUUUAGUUCUUCAAAAGUUGUCCAAAAAAGCCUGAAAUGUUACAGGAAAUUGGAGCAAGUGAGACCAUCGACGUCUACAAAAGUCUACGAGUUGUGCAAGACGCUUGAAGUAACCGAUUAUCUAUUAAAAAAAAAUUGGCAGUGUAUCUGAGAACUGGCGCAGUUUUAUAAGGUAAAGAUGCAAAUAUAAAGGGUAUAUAUAUAUAUAUAUAUAUGACUAUAAAGUGUAGAGAUAAUGUGUCAAACUCUUAUUCACCUAAAAGUGGGAGUAUCCAAGCCAAAAUGUAUUGAAGUGAAAGUCAAAACGUUGCUACUUUUGAAUGCACUCAAGCAUUAAAGCGUAAAUGCUUUGAACCAUUGAAAUUCAUGAAGUUAACGUCAUCUUUUUUAAACGUGAAGGGUAUCUUUCAUUAAUGAUCUAAAACUGUUCGAUUAUUGUUUGAAAGCAACCACUCCGUUCUGCCUGGAAACGUCAUUCAGUGCCUGUAAGUUUGCUAAAUGUGCCUGACUCAUGCUACGUAGUUUGCUAAUGAAGUAAAAUCUUCUGUAAAUAACCAGUAUUUACCCUAAGCUACAACUUGACUUACUGAACAGUGAACAGCUGCGUUAGCUACUGGAACUGAUGCGAGUCUAACUUGAGAGAAGAAAAGACCUUUGUGAUUUGUUACGAAUGCUUUUAAGUUCUAAAUUAAAAAAAAGGUGAGGUGUAAAAAGUAUGUUUUAUUCUUUCUUGUACAUGAGGUGAAAAGUACAAUUAUUCAGUUUGAAUAACACUCAAGUAAGUAAAGCGAAUAAUAAAUAUGCCUAAAUUAUACGUGUAUUAUUGUGUACAGGAAUGAAGUACAAUUACUCAGGUAUUUUCCACCUCUGAUAAAUAUCUAUUUGAUUAUAUUUUUGUGUCUAUUGCUAAUUUAUGUAUGGUACAAAAUAGAAAGUGUUGGGUUUGUUUUUGUUUUUUUUUAAACCAUUUAUCAGUUUAAAAAAUAUAUAUAUUCUACAGUUCACCCUGCACCACGCUGAAACUCCACACACUGUACACUGCACAUUGUAUUGUGUUGUUGUUACACGUGUGUACUGCUUAUUUCGUACACGGUCUAGGGAGGAGUAGGCCAGGUUUUCAUUUCACUGCAAGUUCUAUAGCCUACUGUAUAUAACUGUGUAUGUGACAAAUAAAAUCUUGAAUCUCGAAAACUGAAUUUGGUCUUUGUUUAUUUAUUUAUUUAUUGAUGUUUUUAUGUAUUUUAAUGUCUCUGGCAACUUUAAGAGACCACAAAUGACCAAAGGUGAAUUGGAUAGUUCUUCACACUUUCUGUUGUUGUGAUACGGAAAAAUGAUGAGACCAUUUUGGUUGUUUGUGUAUGAGUGUACCGACAAAAUGUCAUUUUUGUUCUUUGUUAAUUAUAUUUCAGUACGGUGUGUGUGUGUGUGUGUGUGUGUGUGUGUGUGUUUGUUUGUGUGUGUGUGCAUGUACGUACGUGUGUGUAGGGGGUUGUGCACCAUGUGUUGCGUCUGGCAGACCGAACAGAAGGAGCAGAGAUAAUCAGACCUCUGUGAGUGUGUGUGUGUGUGUGUGUGUGUGUGUGUAAGGGUAUGGGUAUGGGGGGGAUGGGCAAAAGCUACCAUAUGGGUUUUGCUGUGGUCUGUGGUCAGGGAAGCCCACCACUCACAUUUCCUUUGGACAUUUGAGUUCAACAGGCUUUAGGGUCAAUACUUGUAUUUAUUUACAGUACUUUCAGCUGCAUUUAGCAAAUGACGAUAGAUAAACAUCACCUAGCAAAUCAUGUCCAUUUGCUAUUGGGGUGUAACCCACCUGACCCUAAGUAAAUUGUCUUUAUUCUUUCAAACUUAUCCACACCCACUUGCCUUGAGAGUAAUUCUAUCCAGUCUUAUCCAGCCCUCCAGGCACUAACAAUGCUUACAGUUAUCCACUGUUAGUCUUGCUGAACCCUUUCUUUUCUGAGGGUUGGGGUUAUUACAUUAUCACUUAUUCAUUUGGCAGAUGUUGUUGUUGUUUUUUUGUUUUGUUUUUGUUUGUUUUUUUCUAAACAAGUCCUUGUAUUUGAACUCAUACUCUACUGGACACUUCUGGACAUGAAGCGCGGAUUAGAAUCGAAUCAUUUUGUCGUUAAUUGACUGUGGGUUCCUCAGUGUUCUUUCACUUCACACGGACCUGACGUCAUUCACACUAGCACGCUGUUUUAUUUUUGGCUCUAUGGCAAUUUCAACCGCACACUGCGCUGUGCAGCCGCGACGCGAUUGGCUGAAACUUGGAGCUGCCGGAAGUCAAUCCCAGGACUCUGAUUGGCGGUCGCUGUCUUUGUGCGCGCGGCAGCUGCUUCUCUCGGCUGCAGUAUUUAGAAUGGUCGUGCUGAAUGACUGCAGAGACGCUCAGGGCUUGGGUGACUCUGAUUGGCUGAGGCUGGGGUUUCAGAAGACGUAUACGUGAUCGCUGAUUGGCUGGCGCUCUCUUUGUGCGCGCGGCGUCUCGGCAGCUGCGUUUUGAAUGGUCCUGCGUUUGAGAAGCCGAAAAGGCGUCCAUGGGCAAAAGGAGUCAGGAUGGUGUUAGUUCAUGUCGGAUAUCUGGUUCUUCCCGUGUUUGGUUCAGUAAGAAGCAGAGUCCGGAGGCCGCCGCCACAUGCCGCAUCACUCCGAUUCCUCUCUCUCUCUCUCUCUCCCUUUCCCUCUCUCUCUUUCUCUCAGUCUAUCUGUCUUCCUCUCUUCCAUUGUGUAGCUAUAGCGAUCGCCUCUCUGCCUGUGUUCUGCCUCCAUCCCCUCUUUCCAUCCGAAGACGACAUUGGCAUUUAAAAACCAAAACCAACCUUCUUCCCACUCAUCCGGUAUCCUUCUGUGUGCGACUGCAGAAUAACACACUCCUUUCUCUUCUUUUUGAGAAGACACCUCUGUCUCGGUUUCAAAACUGUCAUUGUUGAUGAUAACCCAUUGUAGCGGUCUACGAUGAUCAUUGUGAUUGUCCCAUUUGUUUGUUUGUUUGUUUGUUUAUUUAUUUAUUUAUUUUUGUCCCUCUCAGCAAUGGCAUAUUAUAGACUUGCAUUUUUUUAUUUUUUGUCCCUCAGCCUGUAAAUUUCUGUGAAGUGGAUGCGUUCGCUUCUCGUUCCUAGGUCGACCGGGGUUUGUUCCGUUAAGAUAUCCCGAUAGCCGAAGCUACGUACGAGCCGAUCGGGAUUCCUAAAUGCGAUCCACUUUUACAAAGCCGAGAUCGGUCAUCUCGGCCCGUCUUUUAAGGGUCGGGAGUUCAGGAACUCCGACCUUCGUGUCACGAGCACCGAACGGUAGCCACGAGUGUUCGUGUUAAACGGUAUGACGACGCUACGUCGGAAUACGUAUCACCGUAUCGCCGCAAGGCUUCGGCACACGGUUCCAAAUCGAUGAAAACGUACGUUCGGUCGAGCCGAGCUAACCCGAAAACCAUCCGAUUUGUUGAAUGUUUCCAAUCCGAGUGCCAUCGGUCUUUGUAGUGAAAGCUUUCCACUUUGAGUUUGAGUGAGGGAUUGAAGAUAUUAAAAGAUCACCAUGGUAAACUUCAACAGGGUAGUUAGUCGUUGUUUCUGCAGAUGGAACAAGAGUUUGAGGUGGGCAGGGUAUCUACAUAAUCCUCUGUCCUGAAGACUUUCCUGUGGCAGAAACGCUUACUGACCGUUACAAAGUGCCGACACCGGACACUCCUUCCAUAACAUCUGGAUGGUUGUACGUUUUUUCUUUUUUUCGUUUUUUAAUUGGGGAAAAUGUAUUGGCUUUUUAAUCCAAUUUCGUGUUACACUGGGUUUAUAUGGAGCAUCUGCCAUGUGAAUGUCCCUGGGAAAGAGUUGUUAUGAAUAAAUAUCAGAAAGACGAUGUUCAUAGAAACCUGUGGUUUUGCCUUGCAACCAGCACUGUCGUCAGAGCUGCCGUCAUAGAAAAGUAAUCAACACUUUCUGAGGAAUAAGACUGAGGAACGUGGCACCGUUGGGGUAUUAAAAAAAAAAAACGUAUCUAAAAGACCCCACUCCCACUGCGCUCCAUUCAGGAUGAGUCUUCUUAGGUAGUGUAAGCAGUGUUUGACCGUGCGAUAUAAAGCCUGUCUGUAAGUGUAGUCAUUUUAAUAUGCAGUAUUGUGGUGGUUGUCCUACACAGUCAGAAAAGAUUCGAAUUAAGACUUUGCGAAAUGCAAACCAAACAGGAAGCUUUCACUCUAAAGAUCUCGGGUAGACAUUCCUUAAACGUUCUGUUUACCUGAACUAAGCACACCCCCCUAAUUUCACCCCCUUUUUUUUUAAUUACUUUUAUUUCCGCUAACCAGUCCUCAUUUGUGUUUGGCCUUGCGCUAGUGUUCUCCGUGCCUCAAGCUUGGCCACCGUGAACGCCAUCCACGUUACAGGAAUCCCUAGACUUGCACUGCUGUAGAAAUCUUCCUAGAGUUUUGAAAUGUCUUUAUUUCUUUGGUUGUGGUUCUUGGCUUUCUGUUUGUGUAUUAGGCUCUUCAAUGCAUGAUCAUGUUUAUUUUUCAUUACUUAAAAGUUUUUAAGUUUCUUUUGACAUUUGAACAGCAAAUUCCAAUGUAUCUUUGUGUAGAGAUGUUCUGCUGUACUGAUAUGUGCUGUAGCAUACACAUCUACCCAUUGGAUGCUGCUUCUGUUCUUUUAACCUUUUGGAGCAUGGUUGGCUCUUCUUUUUUUUUUAAUUAUUAUUAUUUGCAUGGAAAUAUUCCUCUUAUUAUUCGUAUCACAUGGUUCCACUCAUACUAAUAUUUUCCAAUAAAGACUGUAGUUUUUUUCCUUAACCUUCAGUGUGUUCUCUGCUGAUUUCCAUGUGACCUCCCUUCAAACCCCAACCCCCUUACCAGUUAUUUGGCCUCUUUGGCCCCUCCCCCCCAAUAUUCAUUUCUCAGCUCCUCUCACUUGCCAAGCUGAAUCAUGGGAAACAUACCGUCACAGAAAAUUUAGCCGAUCUCUUCACAUCCACUUAGUCCACAAACAUCUCCAUUUGCAUCUGUCUCUCUUUUUAAUUUAAUUUUUUUGUUGUUAUUUAUCUCCCUAUUUCUCUCCUCUGUAAGCACAUGAUCCUUUUGUGUUACAAACAUGGCUAAAAGUUUUGGAUGCCUCAUUUCCAAAUUUCAAGCUAAUGUUUUUCAUACGUUUCGGUCUGGAAGUGAAUCUUUUUUUUUUUUUAAUCAAAAGUAAGAGUUUUAUUUCAGCAAUUUUUAUUUCACUAGUGUUCAAUAAUAGAAAAUGAACAUUUUCCACAUUUUAUAUACAUUUAUAUACAACUUGGAAUUGAAAUGGACGUAAUUUGGAUUAUACUCUAUAUUGGCAUAAGCUUUUGGACUCCUAUAUCCGUAUAGUUUGCAAAAUUAUGAAUAAAUAAAUUUUAAAAAAAGGUUAAUGUUAUGAUUGCGCAAUAUUAAUCCCUGUUGCUGAGAAACCCCCUAAAUUAGUUCUCGUGCAACCAUCACUAGAUGGUCACGUAAUUAGUUGAAUGGAGUCUACCUGUGUGCAAUUAAAAUGACUUAUGGUCUCAAUAUGAAUACACCUGUUUUGGAAAGGCCCCCCGUAUCUGUACCUGAACAAACGGUGACACGAAGAUCGCUGUGUCCUCAAAAAGAGUUCCGGGUCAAAGUUUUGGAAAAGUAUCAAUUAGAAUUUGCUUAUGAACUGAUCCCCAAAAUAUCCAUUAUUAAAAUAUGGGAAGAAUGUGGCACACCUGCAGGUCUGCCUAGAUAAGCUGUCCAGUGAAAAGCCAGUGACAGGGUAUGGAGGACAUUAGAUAGAGAUGCAAGCAAGAGACGCCAAGGCCAAAAAGAUCAAAUCUGCCCCAACAGGAUAAUCUAGCUACGUGUCGGUCGAGUGGACGAUAUGCCUUUUGGCAAACCCAAAUGAGGAUUUCAAAUGACUUGCUAUUCUUUCGUAAAGCCCAGAUUUGUGGAGCGUCCAUGGUAUGAAUGGCCUCUGUUUCUCCCAUCGGAGCUGUCGAUCUCUCCUGCUCCUUCAGUGUUCUCCUUAGCAUCUAGCUUGCGUCUCUAAGUAAACUUCAAUAUUAUGGGCCUUUUUUUUUUUUUUUUUUUUGGUAUAUUCAUGACACAUAAUUCCAGUUAAGUCCAUGUCCGUUCCAAGUUGUAACAAAAUAUGGAAAAGUUCAAGGGGAGUAAACGCUUAUGCAAGACACUGCACACAGUUCUCCUGUGACAAUAUUACAGUAAGUGUUUCUACACUCCUGGCAGUACAACCCCGUUUAGAACACCACAAAAAACACUUGGGUAAGGUCAUCUAACCUGACAUUUAAAGACAGUCGCCAAAUUUGAAGGCGGUACGUAACGCAAGCCAGUGCCUGUCUUCUCCACAAAAGCGGAAAAUGUUAUUUCAAGUCAGAUAGAACUGCAUUGUCAUUCCAGCUAUACAGUCAUGUGAAAAAAUAAGUACACCCUAUGGAAAUUGUUGGGGUUUUUUUUGACCUAUUUGGACAAGCAAACAUUUGAUCCUCUUUGAAACAGCGCCUAUUAAUAAAGGUGUUACACUCUAUCGAAUGACACACAACUGACAUUUUGUAGUCAUUUUCACAAUUUGAAAAAAAAACUAAAACUGAUCAGUCAGAUGGAAAAAGUAAGUACACACCUACAUUUUCACACCUUUAAAUCCAUACAAUUAGAAUCAGGUGUUCAGGAUUGGGUGCCAGUGAUUAGAACCUGCUUACGAAGUGCAGGUGGAACCUGUGUUUAUAUUUAUACCCCUCUCUCAUAUCUAGUGUCUGGUGUUCCCUUUGUUAUUGAGGUGUGUGGUGUCAUCAUGCCAAGAUCUAAAGAGUUCUGUAAGACCCUCAGAAAAAAGCUUGUGGAUGCUUAUGAGUCUGGUAAGGGAUUUAAAAUGAUCUCCAAAUUAUUUGACAUACAUCAUUCCACUGUAAGGAAAAUAAUCGACAAAUGGCGCAGAUUUCAAACGACUGGUAAUUUGUCCAGGACCGGCCGUCCCAGCAAAUUCAAGAACCCCAAAAUUUCAUCACAAGAUCUGCUUGUAAGUCUAGCAAUUGUUGGUGUCAAAGUGCAGGCUUCUACAGUCAGAAAGAGAUUGCACAAAUUUGAUCUGUAUGGGAGGUGUUUCGUCUGUUUCUGGACAGACGAAUCAAACAUAGAGCUGUUUGGACACAGUAACAUCAGACAUGUUUGACGCAGAACAAAGACAGCUUUUCAGGAGAAGCACCUCAUACCAACUGUGUAGCACGGUGGAGGAAAUGUUAUGGUUUGGGGUUGCUUCACUGCCUCAGGCACUGGACAGCUGGCAUUCAUUGAUUCAACUGUGAAUUCUGCAUCAUAUCAAAGAGUGCUUGAAGAUAAUGUGAGGCCAUGUGUCCGAAAGUUCAAGUUGAACCAAAAGUGGACUUUUAAACAUAAACAUAAUGAUAAUGAUCCUAAACACACGAGCAAAUCCACCAAGGAAUGUCUCAAAAAGAAGAAACGGAGCGUCAUGGUAUGGCCUAGUCAAAGCCCGGAUUUGGAUCCCAUUGAAACGUGGGGGGGAUUUGAAACGGGCCGUACAUGCAAGAAAACCCUCAAACAUCUUGUAACUGAAACAAUAUUACAUGGAAGAGUGGUCAAAAACUCCUAGAAGCCUGGUGGACAAUUACACAAAACUCCUACAAGACGUUAUUUCUGCUAAAGGGGGCAAUACUAGCUUCUGAGGCCAAGAGUGUACUUACUUUUCCCACAGAAGAAUAUCACAUCUAUUGAUAUUUCUGUUGAAGAAAUGAUUGAAAAAGCUUAUUUUCCUU